GUUUGAAAAGCAUCCUUGUCUUUAUAUCCUAAUGUUUGGAUGUGUCUUUGCUAAAGUCUCACAAAAAUUAGUGGUAGCUCACAUGACCAAAAGUGAACUAUAUCUUCAAGACACUGUCUUUUUGGGGCCAGGUCUUUUGUUUUUAGACCAGUACUUUAAUAACUUUAUAGACGAAUAUGUUGUUCUAUGGAUGGCAAUGGUGAUUUCUUCAUUUGAUAUGGUGAUAUACUUUAGUGCUUUGUGCCUGCAAAUUUCAAGACACCUUCAUCUAAAUAUAUUCAAGACUGCAUGUCAUCAAGCACCUGAACAGGUUCACAAGCAUAUUGACUGACUAAUAGCCCAAGGAAAAGAGGAGAUGAAGUUAGGGGAAUCUAUGAGUGAAGGAAAUCCCCCUGUGCAGGAGGCUAGUAUACCAUCAAUAAGGUUAUAUUUGAAUAUAAAACAUAAACCCUGUAGAUUUCAUUGUGUCUUAUUUCAGUUAUGAAGCCCCCAUUGUAUCAUCAUUUUUUAUCACAGAUGUUCUCAGAAUUGUCUACAUAUUAAUUAGAAACAAGACUAAAGAAAUGUCAAUCCUGAGGACAACAGUGAACCCCUGUAAUUCUAAGUAGCAGUUUGUCUCUGAGACUUAUCAGACACAGGGUUUUCACUGCCAAAGGAUUACAUAAAUAUUCAGAACAUAAAGGAUUUUAGCCAUCUUGAGGGUGCUUACUUUGACUGCUAAAAACUGAAAAGUGAUUCAAUACUGCUUAAGUGCAUGGCUUAUAAUGUAAUUAUUGAAUCAAGUUAUGUUCUAAGAAAUUUUUUAUACUAAUCAUUUUUCAAGAGGCAUAUUAGUAUGUUAUAAAAUACUUGCUUUUAGUAUACUAGAAUUUAAAAGGGCUACAGGAAUUUUUUAAAUAAAAUUUGUAUUUAAUAAAAGGAAUUUGUUGUACCAGUUCAGAAAAACAUACGAAUCUUUAUACUGAAGGUAACUUGUUCCUUGAUAUUUUGAGUUAAAAUUUCACUGUCACUGAAAAGUGGAUGUUAAAUAUUCCCUUUCAUGAAAAAUGAAAACAGUAGCUAAGAGUCAGUUGACAUGUAAGAAAAUUAGUAACUUAGAAAAACUUACUUGGUAAAAAAAAUCUUCCUUUUAGAAUACAAAAGUUUACUUUAAGUACACACUGACUCAUUUGAGGUGAUAAGGGAUAAAAUAAGUAAAAGUUAUUCAACCACUAAGUACAUUAGGUACUGAUACUUAUCUUUCCACUCUAAUUG
rnacentral:lncRNA from 1 species